rnacentral:rRNA from 1 species
UACAACGGGGUGCGACACGGUGACGUGGGGCGGGAUCCCUGAAAACCGGUACUCAGUUCGGAUCGCAGUCUGCAACUCGACUGCGUGAAGGUGGAGUCGCUAGUAAUCGCGGAUCAGCAACGCCGCGGUGAAUGCGUUCCCGGGCCUUGUACACACCGCCCGUCAAGUCAUGAAAGUGGGCAGCACCCGAAGACGGUGGCCUAACCCUGUGGGGGGAGCCGUCUAAGGUGAGGCUCGUGAUUGGGACUAAGUCGUAACAAGGUACC